CCUACGGGAGGCAGCAGUAAGGAAUAUUGGACAAUGGGCGAAAGCCUGAUCCAGCCAUGCCGCGUGAAGGAUUAAGGCCCUCUGGGUUGUAAACUUCUUUUAUAGGGGACGAAAAAAGGGAAUUCUUUCCCUCCUGACGGUACCCUAUGAAUAAGCACCGGCUAACUCCGUGCCAGCAGCCGCGGUAAUACGGAGGGUGCAAGCGUUAUCCGGAUUCACUGGGUUUAAAGGGUGCGUAGGCGGGUAGGUAAGUCAGUGGUGAAAUCUCGAAGCUUAACUUCGAAACUGCCAUUGAUACUAUUUAUCUUGAAUAUUGUGGAGGUUUGCGGAAUAUGUCAUGUAGCGGUGAAAUGCUUAGAUAUGACAUAGAACACCUAUUGCGAAGGCAGCAGGCUACGCAUAUAUUGACGCUGAGGCACGAAAGCGUGGGGAUCAAACAGGAUUAGAUACCCUGGUAGUCCACGCCCUAAACGAUGAUUACUCGACAUUUGUGAUACACUAUAAGUGUCUGAGCGAAAGCAUUAAGUAAUCCACCUGGAAGUACGACCGCAAGGUUGAAACUUACGAAAGUAGUAGACGNGNGAGAGCGACGACGACGACGACGGAGGAGGAGG
rnacentral:rRNA from 1 species